rnacentral:rRNA from 1 species
AUUGAACGCUGGCGGCAGGCCUAACACAUGCAAGUCGAGCGGAUGAAGGGAGCUUGCUCCUGGAUUCAGCGGCGGACGGGCGAGUAAUGCCUAGGAAUCUGCCUGGUAGUGGGGGAUAACGUCCGGACACGGGCGCUAAUACCGCAUACGUCCUGAGGGAGAAAGUGGGGGAUCUUCGGACCUCACGCUAUCAGAUGAGCCUAGGUCGGAUUAGCUAGUUGGUGGGGUAAAGGCCUACCAAGGCGACGAUCCGUAACUGGUCUGAGAGGAUGAUCAGUCACACUGGAACUGAGACACGGUCCAGACUCCUACGGGAGGCAGCAGUGGGGAAUAUUGGACAAUGGGCGAAAGCCUGAUCCAGCCAUGCCGCGUGUGUGAAGAAGGUCUUCGGAUUGUAAAGCACUUUAAUUUGGGAAGAAGAGCAGUAAGUUAAUACCUUGCUGUUUUGACGGUACCAACAGAAUAAGCACCGGCUAACUUCGUG